AGAGUUUGAUCAUGGCUCAGAUUGAACGCUGGCGGCAUGCCUUACACAUGCAAGUCGAACGGUAGAGCAGCAAUGCUUGAGAGUGGCGAACGGGUGAGUAAUAUAUCGGAACGUGCCCAAUCGUGGGGGAUAACGUAGAGAAAUUUACGCUAAUACCGCAUACGAUCUACGGAUGAAAGCGGGGGACUCGCAAGGGCCUCGCGCGAUUGGAGCGGCUGAUAUCAGAUUAGCUUGUUGGUGAGGUAAAAGCUCACCAAGGCGACGAUCUGUAGCUGGUUUGAGAGAACGACCAGCCACACUGGGACUGAGACACGGCCCAGACUCCUACGGGAGGCAGCAGUGGGGAAUUUUGGACAAUGGGCGAAAGCCUGAUCCAGCAAUGCCGCGUGCAGGAAGAAGGCCUUCGGGUUGUAAACUGCUUUUGUACGGAACGAAACGGUCUGCUUUAAUACAGUGGGCUAAUGACGGUACCGUAAGAAUAAGCACCGGCUAACUACGUGCCAGCAGCCGCGGUAAUACGUAGGGUGCGAGCGUUAAUCGGAAUUACUGGGCGUAAAGCGUGCGCAGGCGGUUAUAUAAGACAGUUGUGAAAUCCCCGGGCUCAACCUGGGAAUUGCAUCUGUGACUGUAUAGCUAGAGUACGGUAGAGGGGGGAUGGAAUUCCGCGUGUAGCAGUGAAAUGCGUAGAUAUGCGGAGGAACACCGAUGGCGAAGGCAAUCCCCUGGACCUGUACUGACGCUCAUGCACGAAAGCGUGGGGA
rnacentral:rRNA from 1 species